UUUUUUUUUAAUGUUGUCAAACAUAUCUUAUUUAUACUAAUAAGCUUAACCUAAAGUUCCUUCAGCUGACCUAGGGUUUAAUUGGGCUUAAAAGUGUAAUGAAAUGCCCAAAAAUUAAUUAUCAGUCUUUACAAAAUUUCAUUCCCGGAACAGUACGUCUAGCCAUUUUCUGACGUGAUUUGCUCUAUCUUCGAGGCAGAACUGGGCAAAGUAAUCUUCAUCAAGGUUGUAACUCUGUCUCUUAGCGUUCCACUGAUCCAAGAAUCACAUCAUUUGGAGUUCUGUAACUCGAGAUAUAGCCAAAAUACUAAAACAUACGCAAGCAGAUUCU
rnacentral:lncRNA from 1 species